rnacentral:rRNA from 1 species
AUACGGAGGAUCCGAGCGUUAUCCGGAUUUAUUGGGUUUAAAGGGAGCGCAGGCGGAGAUGCAAGCGUGACGUCAAAUUUCGGGGCUCAACCCCGUCUCGCGUCGCGAACUGCGUCCCUUGGUUGCGGGAAGGGGAGGCGGAACUCGUGGUGUAGCGGUGAAAUGCAUAGAUAUCACGAAGAACUCCGAUCGCGAAGGCAGCCUUCCGGCCCGUCAACGACGCUCAUGCUCGAAGGUGCGGGUAUCAAACAGGAUUAGAUACCCUGGUAGUCCGCACAGUAAACGAUGGACACCCGCGGUUUGGCCUGUAUGGCUGAGCCGCCAAGCGAAAGCGUUAAGUGUCCCACCUGGGGAGUACGCCGGCAACGGUGAAACUCAAAGGAAUUGACGGGG